GGCUGGAAGGUGGCGCAGUUGGUAGCACUGUUGCCUUGCAGAAAGUAGGUCCUGGGUUCAAUUCCCAGCCUGGUAUCU